UUCUUGAGGUGUAGACUAAGUGGGAGGUAGAAAUACCAUCAUUGAAAAACCACUACUCAG
rnacentral:rRNA from 15 species